CGCUGGCGGCGUGCUUAACACAUGCAAGUCGAACGGAAAGGCCCUUCGGGGUACUCGAGUGGCGAACGGGUGAGUAACACGUGGGUGAUCUGCCCUGCACUUUGGGAUAAGCCUGGGAAACUGGGUCUAAUACCGAAUAGGACCACGCGCUUCAUGGUGUGUGGUGGAAAGCUUUUGCGGUGUGGGAUGGGCCCGCGGCCUAUCAGCUUGUUGGUGGGGUAAUGGCCUACCAAGGCGACGACGGGUAGCCGGCCUGAGAGGGUGACCGGCCACACUGGGACUGAGAUACGGCCCAGACUCCUACGGGAGGCAGCAGUGGGGAAUAUUGCACAAUGGGCGCAAGCCUGAUGCAGCGACGCCGCGUGAGGGAUGACGGCCUUCGGGUUGUAAACCUCUUUCACCAGGGACGAAGCGUAAGUGACGGUACCUGGAGAAGAAGCACCGGCCAACUACGUG
rnacentral:rRNA from 1 species